rnacentral:misc_RNA from 1 species
GAAGCGCGAAAUGUAGUGUGAAUCGCAGAACAUUGUGAAUCAUCGAAUCUUUGAACGCAUAUUGCGCCUCCCGUAACAGGGAGGCAUGCCUGUCUGAGCGUCAUUUAAACCCAUACACCUUUGAAGGUUGUGUGUUGGGCCCUUCGUCGAGCCCCUUCGGUCCGACGUGGCCUCAAAGCCAUCGGUCUAGUUGAGCGGACGAGAUCCAUUAGGACAUUGACCGUUCGAUCGACCUUAAAGGUAAAUCUGAAUUUGACCUCAGAUCAGGUAGGACUACCGCCUGAACUUAA